rnacentral:lncRNA from 1 species
GGGAGCCUUUGUCAGUCUCUGGGCCAGAGCCAAAUGGCGGCGGCCGAAGGCACGGCCUGCCCCAAAAUGGCGGCUGGACCCAUGGCCUGUCCCGGACUAGAGAUCACAAGAGUAAACUUGGAAAACACAGUGCUGAAAAGAUCUUGCCUUGAACUCGGUCAGAUGUGUUCCUCCCAGCUCUUACAGAGAUACAAAAACUGAACAGAGUAUGGUGGCAAGAAAAAGGAAAGAUGGAAAGGCAGAGGGGAAGGCAAAGGUGAAAGCUCAAGAGAAGACAUCCUCUCUUCUCCCUGCAUCUUUUCUUUCCUGAACCUUCACUUUCCCCCCACCCCUUUCAACACUUCAUUAUUCACAAGUCCCACUUGCCCUUUUAUCAUCCCUUGGUACCAUUAUCCUUGAAGAGAUGAGGAACAUUUAUAUCUGCAGGUCCAUUAAUUUAUGGUCAAAAAUGCUUCUGUACAGAGUUUCUCUAUUUGCACAUUAAUAGAUAUGUAUGCACACCCCCUUCCUCGCUCAAAAUUAUCUUUGAGUCUAUAAUUACACAGUAAGUCUUUCAGACUCCCUUUCUCCUGCUGUGCUUCAUAGAGAACUCUAUUUUAUUGGUUUUGUUUCAAUCUUCUCCAUUUCUACAGCAGAUUGAUGACGCAUUUUUACAGCUUUGGCAUUAACACAGAAAUAAUGAUGUUCUCACCCUGUCCAUUUCUAUAGAUGAUGCUGCAUCCUGAUAAUUUUGCACCACAGUGGGUUUUUCACAGUGUUUUCAAGACAAUCAUAAUAAUGAC